UGGUUGUUCUUCUCUGUACUCUUCAGGUUGAUGAGGGGAGAGAGAUCAGUUGAACCUCUUCCUUCAGGUUGAUGAGAGAGAUCAGUUGAACCUCUUCCUUCACGGUUUGAUGAGGGGAGAGAGAUCAGUUGAACCUCUUCCCUUCAGGUUGAUGAGAGAGAUCAGUUGAACCUCUUCCUUCAGGUUGAUGAGAGAGAUCAGUUGAACCUCUUCCUUCAGGUUGAUGAGAGAGGUCAGUUGAACCUCUUCCUUCAGGUUGAUGAGGGGAUAGAGGUCAUUUGAACCUCUUCCUUCAGGUUGAUGAGGGGAGAGAGGUCAGUUGAACCUCUUCCUUCAGGUUGAUGAGGGGAGAGAGGUCAGUUUGAACCUCGUCCUUCAGGUUGAUGAGGGGAGAGAGGUCAGUUGAACCUCUUCCUUCAGGUUGAUGGAGGGGAAGAGGUCAGUUGAACCUCUUCCUUCAGGUUGAUGAGGGGAGAGAGAACAGUUGAACCUCUUCCUUCAGGUUGAUGAGGGGGUAGAGGUCAUUGAACCUCUUCCUCAGGUGAGAGGGGAGAGAGGUCAGAUGAACCUCUUCCUCAGUUGAUGAGGGAUAGAGGUCAGUUGAACCUCUUCCUUCAGGUUGAUGAGGGAUAGAGGUCAGUUGAACCUCUUCCUUCAGGUUGAUGAGGGGAGAGAGGUCAGUUGAACCUCUUCCUUCAGGUUGAUGAGGGGAUAGAGAGUCA
ensembl:lncRNA